CAGGCCUAACACAUGCAAGUCGAACGGUGGCAGCAAUGCCAUAGUGGCGCACGGGUGCGUAACACGUAACUAACCUGCCCAGACCUGGGGGAUAGCCCGCCGAAAGGCGGAUUAAUACCGCAUAUGCCGAUGGGGUGGCAUCACCUAGUUAUUAAAGAUUUAUCGGGUUUGGAUGGGGUUGCGGGUCAUUAGCUAGUUGGUAAGGUAAUGGCUUACCAAGGCGACGAUGACUAGGGGAGCUGAGAGGCUGGUCCCCCACACGGGCACUGAGAUACGGGCCCGACUCCUACGGGAGGCAGCAGUAGGGAAUAUUGGGCAAUGGGCGAGAGCCUGACCCAGCCAUGCCGCGUGCAGGAAGAAGGCUUUCUGAGUCGUAAACUGCUUUUGAUAGGGAAGAAUAACCAGUACGUGUACUGGGAUGACGGUACCUACAGAAUAAGCACCGGCUAACUCCGUGCCAGCAGCCGCGGU
rnacentral:rRNA from 1 species